ACCAUAUCUUGGUCAAAGUCAGACUCUGCAGUUAUGACGAUUCUCUUCUCCACCCGAGUCUCUGAAGAUCCACUUUUCACCACCUUUGAGAUGUGUGUGGA